AGCAGGCGCGCAAAUUACCCAAUCCCGACACGGGGAGGUAGUGACAAUAAAUAACAAUACGGGGUUCUUUAGGAUCUCGUAAUUGGAAUGAGUACAAUUUAAAUCUCUUAACGAGGAACAAUUGGAGGGCAAGUCUGGUGCCAGCAGCCGCGGUAAUUCCAGCUCCAAUAGCGUAUAUUAAGUUGUUGCAGUUAAAAAGCUCGUAGUUGAAUUUCGGGGUUAGNAGGUUGGUCAUGCCUCUGGUAUGUACUGGUCUCACUGAUUCCUCCUUCCUGAUGAACCGUAAUGCCAUUAAUUUGGUGUUGCGGGGAAUUUGGACUGUUACUUUGAAAAAAUUAGAGUGUUUAAAGCAAGCUAACGCUUGAAUACAUUAGCAUGGAAUAAUGAAAUAGGACGUUCGAUCCUAUUUUGUUGGUUUCUAGGAUUGACGUAAUGAUUAAUAGGGAUAGUUGGGGGCAUUAGUAUUCAAUUGUCAGAGGUGAAAUUCUUGGAUUUAUUGAAGACUAACUACUGCGAAAGCAUUUGCCAAGGAUGUUUUCAUUAAUCAAGAACGAAAGUUAGGGGAUCGAAGACGAUCAGAUACCGUCGUAGUCUUAACCAUAAACUAUGCCGACUAGGGAUCGGAUGAUGUUAAUUUUUUAAUGACUCAUUCGGCGCCUUACGGGAAACCAAAGUGUUUGGGUUCA
rnacentral:rRNA from 1 species